AAUUUGCGCAGGUUCAAACGCUGGAAAUGGAAAAUGAGAUCCCUGGACCAUGAGCCAUCAAGAAAACAAGGCAAUUCAUUUACGAAUGACUUCGAUAUCUUGUUAAAGCGGUUCAAAUAAAGUUAUGGAACGUAACAGGUGACACGCUAAAAGGUUUCGGCUGACAGAAUGAAGAUAUAGCACAUCCAGUAAUUAGGUGUCCUUCGGGCCACUCUUCUUUGCCGCCUCUGCCGCGGCCUUCUCUGCCUCAAUCUCCGCAACAUAUUCAUCGAUUUCAGUCUCCUCAAGUUGCCGAAGGCCAUCCUUCUUUGUCAUCACUGCGAUCUCGAUGUUCUUCCCGCCACUCUCAACAACCUAAAAGGUUUUGUCAUCUAUUAGUGCUUGCAGAACGGAAAGAAAAUUGGAAGGAUAAACUUAAGUUAUAGUGCACAUCAUAUGUUCUGAUGUCCAUAACAUUUUAUUUUGACAAAUAGUAAAGAAUAAGGUUAGUGUCAAGGACACAAGAGAAAAGAUCAAGCAAUUCCAUACGGAUCCUGACCAUCCUAGAAUAGAUAAUCGAUGCUGAAAAUCAGAUUGAAACUAAAUACCAUCCCUAUUGAGGAAUUUAAAUGAUGGACAUUAUAUGUUCUAGCACUACACAUACUAAAUUCAGUAUGUAUACUUGGUAUAACCAUACAAGUUCCAGAUCCAUGAAGAUGAAUUGGUGAAUUAUAGCCCAUCUGGCACACACGCAUGGAAGCUCAUGGCAAAAGAGAACUGUUCUUCAGAAAUGUUGCAAAAGCUAAAAGUACAGAUGCGGCCUAUAUUUCACAUAAAUAUGGCAAACGAUACAGACUGGUCUCAUUGAUUGACUCAGCAAAUAAAGCAGCUAGCACACUAAUGAAAGCAGAGUGGUAUUUCCGAAGUGCAAGUUUAUAAGGAACUGCUAGAUUAACAUCAUUCCCCAAGAUUCUGUUAUGAAGAAUAUUCAAACAAACACUCAUUAAAUUUGGGGCUAUGCAUACAUACUCUCUUGAUAGUUGAUACAGAGAGCAAGCCAGAUGAUGGACCACAGACAUCUGACAAUUGCAUGAUAGACUUCGAGUUGCAUAACAUCCAGGAAACAAGGAUAGAUAGAAAGCCCCACGUUUGCUCAAUUCGGAACUCAACUUAAGUUACAGUUUUCUUAAUAGAAUGGAGUGAAUCAGACAAUGUAAAUUCAAUAUUCACAGAGGCCUAAGCAAGCUUAUCGGCACAACUAAAAGGAGCUGCACCAGGAGUAGCUAUGUAAAUGCCUCGUCAUAAGUACCUGUCACAAUUCCUCAUUUUCACCUCCAUUCCACUAAACAUAAGAAUGCUACGACAAAGAAAACACCACAUCUAUGAGUGGCAAGCAAGGCCUUUCAUUUCACUCAGCAGCCAACACCCACCAGUACUUUUCAGCAUUUGUUGUUCACUCAGCAGUCAACACCCACCAGUACUUUUCAGCAUUUGUUUGGCAAGCCUGCCCCUCAGUUGCUAAUUUAGUUUGAAGCUAUACUCUUAUUGUGGCAUGACAAAAAUCAAGUAAAUCUAAGUAUAUAAGAGAAUAAGAGAUUCUACGCAUCAUCACAUUUCCAAAGGCAUCUCAAAUACUGUGUGCUUGAUAAAUUAAUCCUUGCUCAGAACGGAGUGAAUCAGACAGUGGUAAAUUCAGUAUUCACAGAGGCCUAAACAAGCUUCUCAGCACAACUGAAAAAAGCUGCACCAGGAGUAGCCAUGUAAGUGCCUCGUCAUAAGUACCUGUCACAAUUCCUCAUUUUCACCUCCAUUCCACUAAACAUAAGAAUGCUACGACAAAGAAAACACCACAUCUAUGAGUGGCAAGCAAGGCCUUUCAUUUCACUCAGCAGCCAACACCCACCAGUACUUUUCAGCAUUUGUUUUAGCACGUCUGCCCCCAGUUGCUAAUUUAGUUUGAAGCUAUACUCCUAUUGUGGCAUGACAAAGAUCAAGUAAAUCUAAGUAUAUAAGAGAAUAAGAGAUUCUACACAUCAUCAUAUUUUCCAAAGGCACCUCAAAUACUGUGUGCUUGAUAAGUUAAUCCUUGCUAUACGGAAUGGAGUGAAUCAGACAGUGGUAAAUUCAGUAUUCACAGAGGUCUAAAUAAGCUUCUCGGCACAACUAAAAAAAGCUGCACCAGAGGUAACUAUGUAAAUGCCUCGUCAUAAGUACCUGUCACAAUUCCUCAUUUUCACCUCCAUUCCACUAAACAUAAGAAUGCUACGACAAAGAAAACACCACAUCUAUGAGUGGCAAGCAAGGCCUUUCAUUUCACUCAGCAGCCAACACCCACCAGUACUUUUCAGCAUUUGUUUUAGCACGUCUGCCCCCAGUUGCUAAUUUAGUUUGAAGCUAUACUCCUAUUGUGGCAUGACAAAGAUCAAGUAAAUCUAAGUAUAUAAGAGAAUAAGAGAUUCUACACAUCAUCAUAUUUUCCAAAGGCACCUCAAAUACUGUGUGCUUGAUAAGUUAAUCCUUGCUAUACAGAAUGGAGUGAAUCAGACAGUGGUAAAUUCAGUAUUCACGGAGGUCUAAAUAAGCUUCUCGGCACAACUAAAAAAAGCUGCACCAGGAGUAGCUAUGUAAAUGCCUCGUCAUAAGUACCUGUCACAGUUCCUCAUUUUCAUCUCCAUUCCCUUAGACAUAAGAUUGCUACAACAAAGAAAACUACCACACCUAUGAGUGGCAAGCAAAAGCCUUACAGUUCACCCAGUACACCCCAGUGCUUUUAAGCACUAGUUUGGCAUGUCUAAUGUUCAGUUGCUAUUAACUUUGAUUUGAAGCAAUACCCAUAUUAUGGCAUGAAAAAGAUCAAGCAAAUCCUUAGUUGAGUAAAGAAAGUAUAAACUAUUUCAUUCACUGUCACAUUUCCAAAGGCAACUCAAAUACUUGUGCACUUGAUCAGUAUCCAGUUAGCUGAACACAUUUACAGCUAACGAGCUACUUGCCCUGGAUCUUGCUAGGAACACCAGCAUCAGAAAUAAUCAGAGUAACCAUGAACCCAUUAAAUCACCUAACGUCAGAUGAAAGGUAGAAACCAAGGCCUAUUGUGUGCUACUACCAAGGUUUAUUCCUGGAGCAUGUUAAGUACGCUCUACGAGCCUAUGGUCACCAUUCAACAGGAGAGAUGUGACCUUCAUAAAAUGACGAAUCAAGCAAUUGAGAAUUUCGCAUAACAUGUAGUGCAAAUUGAGGUCUAUUCUGUUGGAUAUAAAACUAACGAGAAGAAAUUGAAGGAUAAAUACCUCUAGAAGGGCUCGGAUGGUGAGCUUGAUGGUCUCCUUGCCGGAGGUGUCCUUGUAGUUCUUCUCCAGGAACUCCCUCAUGGAGUUGGAGUUCCUCCCCGUGGCGUUGGCCUUCCAGGCGGAGAAGGUGCCGGAGGGGUCGGU
rnacentral:lncRNA from 1 species